CCCAACCUGGUGGUUAAAAGGUCAUGGCAGGAGGAUUUGGAGCUGGUGAUGUACAGAUUUGUGUAAACAGUAACUAAACGAACUCACAGCCCCAACCCCGUCGAGCUCUGGACACGGAACCCUGGACACGGAACCACCACCGUUACAAUGUUGGAGCUCGCCCAGUGAGGAUGCAGUUGUGAGGACCUCAUCAACCUCCAUGGACAAGCGCCUCGGUAUCACCAUGUGAACUCCCAGAGAUCAGUAUAAGAACGUUUACUCGAAGAUGAAAGUAUCCCAUCCAAGAACUCACCGAUGCAUCUCGAGAGAAAUCUACGAAUCUGGAAUUCGCUGCCUGAUGUAACAUUUUGGUAAAGGAGGAAGACAUGGUCGGGUAUCAA